AUUAAUUUUGUCCCUUGAAAUGUAAGAGUGAUCUGAAAUGCCUAAGAGAAUAUUGGAGAAGGUUCAUCUGAGUGUGGAUCCAUUUGCUUGGUAUCAUUUUUUCAAAACUGUGAUUUGUGGAUUGCACUGUCAAGGUUAACGUAUGAGGGCUGAGCUUACUCUGCUCGUGGAGGUGCCCUGCUGCAAGACCACAAUGAAGGGUUGUGCAGCACACGGAGCACAUUACAGUGAAAACCCACCUGUUGAAAUAGUAGAGAUCAUGCCAUUUUUUACAUGUGCACAGUAAAAAAAAAAUGGAAAGAUGGGCUGUCUGAGGCUUUCCAAAGCCAAGGAUUGUUGAAAUCUUGAUGGAAGAACACACUCCUUCACUUCUAUGCUUCUGAAAUACAAAAUAUCCGUUAAAAGUGAUAGACUUGAAGCCAAGGCAAACAAAUUCAUAAGCUAAACUUGAACACUUUUACUUGCAAAUACUGAUCUUGCGAUGACAGAUUCAUUUUUCCAGCUCUGGCAAAUUUGUUUCUAUUGUACCCUUGCUGGAAAUUACCCUGCAAGUGUUUAUAAACCUGGCGUACCGUGAAGGACUCCAUGUAGGACACAUUAUUCAGAUGAAAGGAGAACCUCAAGGCUAUCAGCCAGCCAGGGCAUCUCCCAGACUUAUUUGCCACCAGUUAGAAAGCUGCCCUGCAUACAGUUGUGACGGAGAGGAGGGAGGUGAUGCACUACCACUGCUGGAGAAGCACGGUGUGCAUCACCCGCGUCACCAGCAGCUCCACAGCUGUGCGGCUCCUGCCUGUACUGCCGUCCCCACCGCCCCACACGUGAGGGCUGGUACAAGGGUUGGACGCUCGCGGUGGAUUGAAGAAAGACCUUGUAUUCAUGCCUUUUUUCCACCACAGGCACCCUGUCCUGUAACUCCGAACCUCAGUUUCCUAUCAUUAGGUGCGGUGGGAAAAAGGGCUAUUUAAAUACCAGCGAAGACUGGAUUCAGGAUGCGGACAAGGUUUACUCAGCAUCAGAGCCUGCCUCAGUGCUUCUUACUGGUAC